rnacentral:tRNA from 1 species
AAUAAAAUGGCUGAAGAUAGGCGAUAAAUUGUAAAUUUAUUUAUAAGAAAAAAAAAUCUUUUUUAUUA